rnacentral:tRNA from 1 species
GCCCUCGUGGUGAAAUGGAUAUCAUCUUUGUCUUCGGAACAAAGGGUAGAGGUUCGAGUCCUCUCGGGGGCACCC